CCUCGCUGCUGCGCUCUUUACCCUUAUUUUUUUCUGUCGAUUCUGAGGUGGUGUUUUUUCGUGUCUGUUUUUGCCCUGUGGCCUUAGGGUGCCCUUCCUGUCCCUUCUUUCAGAAACAGUCAUUCUGUAAUAAUAGCUAAAUAAAGUUAAUGCUGUACAACUAACGUCUUGUUUCUUGAUGGUCAGUUUGUAUGGAAUGCACCUGCAAGGGUACCUCCUUGUCUGAAAGUCGUGCUUUAAAAAUAAUUAAUUAAGAGAGAGAGAGAGAGAGAAAGAUGGCCCAUAAAGAAAACUCUGAAUGUCUCCUGUAUUAAGGCCCAUGGGACGUGCAUGUGCACAGUGAUUUGGCAAAGGACCUAGAUGAAAAUGAAGUUGAAAGGCCAGAGGAAGAAAAUGCCAGUGCUAAUCCUCCAUCUGGAAUUGAAGAUGAAACUGCUGAAAAUGGUGUACCAAAACCGAAAGUAACUGAGACCGAAGAUGAUAGUGAUAGUGACAGUGAUGAUGAUGAAGAUGAUGUUCAUGUCACUAUAGGAGACAUUAAAACGGGAGCACCACAGUAUGGGAGUUAUGGUACAGCACCUGUAAAUCUUAACAUCAAGACAG
rnacentral:sRNA from 1 species